GAUGAAGAACGUAGCGAAAUGCGAUACGUAAUGUGAAUUGCAAAUUCAGUGAAUCAUCGAGUCUUUGAACGCACAUUGCGCCCCCUGGUAUUCCGGGGGGCAUGCCUGUCCGAGCGUCAUUACUGCCCUCAAGCCCGGCUUGUGUGUUGGGCCCCGUCCUCCGAUCCCGGGGGACGGGCCCGAAAGGCAGCGGCGGCACCGCGUCCGGUCCUCGAGCGUAUGGGGCUUUGUCACCCGCUCUGUAGGCCCGGCCGGCGCUUGCCGAUCAACCCCAAUUUUUUAUAGGUUGACCUCGGAUCAGGUAGGGAUACCCGCUGAACUUAAGCAUAUCAAUAAGUGGAGGA
rnacentral:misc_RNA from 1 species